rnacentral:rRNA from 1 species
CACGUAGUUAGCCGGCGCUUCUUCUGCAGGUACCGUCACCCGAAAGCUUCUUCCCUACUGAAAGAGGUUUACAACCCAAAGGCCGUCAUCCCUCACGCGGCGUCGCUGCAUCAGGCUUGCGCCCAUUGUGCAAUAUUCCCCACUGCUGCCUCCCGUAGGAGUCUGGGCCGUGUCUCAGUCCCAGUGUGGCCGGUCACCCUCUCAGGCCGGCUACCCGUCAUCGCCUUGGUAGGCCAUCACCCCACCAACAAGCUGAUAGGCCGCGAGCCCAUCCCAGACCAGAAACCCUUUCAACAACCACCCAUGCAGGCAGAAAUGAUAUCCAGUAUUAGCCCCGGUUUCCCGGAGUUAUCCCAGAGUCUGGGGCAGGUUACUCACGUGUUACUCACCCGUUCGCCACUAAUCAGGGAUGCAAGCACCCCAUCAUCGUUCGACUUGCAUGUGUAAAGCACGCCGCCAGCGUUCGUCCUCGAGCCGAGACGUACAAACUACUACUAGUACGACUACGG